rnacentral:lncRNA from 1 species
UUUUUUUUUUUUUUUUUUUUAAGAGGGUCUCACUCUGUCGUUCAGACUGGUGUUCAUUGGUAUGGUCAUGGGUCACUGAAGCCUCAACCUCCUCGACUUAGCUCAACCUCUCGCCUCAGUUCCCCAAGUAGUUGGGACUAUGGGCGUGUUCCUUUUAAACAUUUUUUGUAGAGAUAGGGUCUCAUUGUGUUUCCCAGGCUGGCCUAGAACUCCUGACCUCAAGGAAUCCUCCUACCCGUCUCCCAAAGUGGUGAAAUUGCAUACACGAGUCACUGCUCCUGGCCAAUGAGGGCAACUUUUUAAAAAAUAACAUUCAUCUGCUCUCAUUUUUCUAAUAAAACAUUGCCAUUUAUUAUAUGGCUUUAUUAGUGUUAUCUUUGUUGCAAAAGUAUAUGUAAUAGUCUCUAAAGAUGGUUAAGAGUUUGUGUCACAUCAACUGUAUCAAUAACCUAUUUUGUAUUUUAUUUUCCCAAUAUUUUAAGAUGAAAACUUCCAAAUGUAUUUAAAAAGGGGAUAUGAUAUGUUGGAACAGCUGUAUAUUGUCUCUCUAGAUUCAACAACUGUUAACAUUUUGCCAUAGUUGCUUUAUUUUUCUUUUUAUAUCUACUGUUUUUUUUCUUUCUUUGACUGAACCCUUUGAGAGAAAAUUGCAGACAUCAUAUUUUACCUGUAAACAUUUAAGCAUGCAGCUCUUAAGAAUGAAGAUAUUUUUCAGCCAGGCACGGUAGCUCACACCUGUAAUCCCAGCACUUUGGGAGGCCGAUGCAGGCAGAUCACCUGAGGUUGGGAGUUCGAGACCAGCCUGACCAACAUGGAGAAACCCUGUCUCUACUAAAAAUACAAAAUUAGCCGGGCAUGGUGUCACAUGCCUGUAAUCCCAGCUACUCGGGAGGCUGAGGCAGGAGAAUCGCUUAAAUCCUCGAGGUGGAGGUUGUGGUGAGCCGAGAACAUGCCAUUGCCCUCCAGCCUGGGCAACAAGAGUGAAACUCCAUCCCAAAAAAAAAAAAA